AUGAAAGCUCUCUUUUGGAACGUUCAAGGUUUCGGUGCUAGGGGGCGCCGAGACCAGAUUCAUGACUUGGUUUGUGGAGAGCAUAUUGACAUUUUAGGGUUGGUUGAAACGUUUAAGGAAUCCUUUUCCUCUCUUGAACUGUCUGCGGUGGCUGGCAUGGACGGGUUCGACUGGCACUUUCCCCCUGCUUCGGGCCAUUCUAGGGGCAUCUUGAUAGGGUCUAAACGGGACGUGUUUGAUUUCAUUACCUUUGAUCAUGGCAUAUUUUGGGCUAGCUGUGUGGUUCAUCAUCGCCAGCUUAACAAAUUAUGGGAAUUUUUGGUGGUUUAUGGCCCCGCGGACCACUCUCUUGCCGCUUUGUUUUUGGAUGAACUUUCAAUUAAGAUUGAAUCAUGUAAUAUUCCUCUUCUAAUUGGUGGUGAUUUCAAUUUGUUACACUCCCCGGCGAAUAAAAAUAGACCUAAUUUUUCUUGGCAUCUUGCCAAUGCUUUUAAUGAGUUCUUUAGUAAUUGUGUGCUCCGUGAGCUCCCUAGGGUGGGGGCGCGGUUCACCUGGUCUGACCAUCAGUCCUCUCUUGUUCGAUCGGUGCUGGAUCGGGUCUUUGUCUGUGAUAGGUGGGAUUCGCUUUUCCCCCGUGCGGUGCUGAAAGCCAGGCCUGCGGUUGGCUCCGAUCAUGUCCCCCUCGUCGUGGAUGCGGGAAUCCUUUCCCUUGUGUCGCCUGCCCGCUUCCAAUUUGAUGCCUCUUGGCUAGUAGUGGAGGGAUUCCCUGAGAUGAUGGCUUCCAAGAUCUCUAAUCUUCUGUUCUCCCCUCGCCGUUCCUUUGGCCCCAUGGAUGACUGGCAGCCGAGAUCCGUAGGGAAAAAGAGACCCUUGAAUCUCAACUCUGAGAUCUGGACCACUCUGCUGACUUGUUUGGGCUCUCCGCUUCUCAAUGGGCUACUCGUUACUCCCUGGAAGAUGCUUUGA
rnacentral:rRNA from 1 species